rnacentral:rRNA from 1 species
UAAUNCGGGNGGCNGCGGUGGGGNGUUUUGCCCCGUGGGCGCNCGCCUGUUGCGGCCGUGCCGCGUGUNUGACGAAGGCCUUCGGGUUGUAAAGUACUUUCNGCAGUGAGGAAGGGGUGUCCGUUAAUAGCGUGCAUCUUUGACGUUAGCUGCAGAAGAAGCACCGGCUAACUCCGUGCCAGCAGCCGCGGUAAUACGGAGGGUGCGAGCGUUAAUCGGAAUUACUGGGCGUAAAGCGCAUGCAGGUGGUUUGUUAAGUCAAAUGUGAAAGCCCGGGGCUCAACCUCGGAAUAGCAUUUGAAACUGGCAGACUAGAGUACUGUAAAGGGGGGUAGAAUUUCAGGUGUAGCGGUGAAAUGCGUACAGAUCUGAAGGAAUACCGGGGGCGAAGGCGGCCCCCUGGACAGAUACUGACACUCACAUGCCAAAGCGUGGGGAGCAAACAGGAUUAAAUACCCUGGUAGUCCACGCCGUAAACGAUGUCU